ensembl:lncRNA
CCUCCUCUCUCGGACUUAGCCACGCCCUUCAUUAGUUCCUGAGGGGAUUUUUCAGAACAGAGGUUAUGGCAGUUUCACUAUCCAAUUCCAAGCACGCCGCAGAAAAAUAGAUUGAUAAAAGUGAACAAAAAUAUGAACAUCAUGUGUGGUAAUGGCUCCCAAGCAAAGAAUCUGAACCUUACAGCAGCCCCACCUAAGAUUUAUGAACAGGAAACCGGGAAGGGGAAUGACAUUUGAAGUUUUUUAGCAGGUGUGCUUCCUGACCAAAGAAGUCAGAUGAGUGCAUGAGCAGCCCCUUCAAGGACAAGGCUUGGAUUCCCAGGAGCAGACAAGGAACUCUGUGGGCAUACUCCAAGGAAUCUGGACCUCCUCUGUCACAGGACAUCCACUGUUUAAGCACCACCACUACCUCAGGAAGUCCACUGUCUGUGUGUCAACUCCACUGUUACAGGACCAUAAGUGUCUCAGCACUUCAACUAUCACAGCACUUCUACUGUUCAGGAGCUCAAGAGUCUCAGCAUCUCAAGUGUCACAGGACCUCCUUUGUCCAAGAACUGGACUGUCCAAGCAACACUACUAUUGCGGGACCUCCACUGUCACAGGACUUCCACUGUAGGAGCACUACAACUGUCUCAGGACACCCACUGUCCUAUAACCUCCACUAUCCCAGGAAUUCCACUGUCGUAGCACCACCCAUAGCAACUAAAGUGUUUCAGGACAUCAACUGAAGCAAGAUCUCCCAUGAUUCUGCAACUUCACUGCCACAGGAUCUCUACAGUGACAGGAAUACCCCUGUAUCAUCAAUUCCAAUUUUGCAGGACCUCCACAGUAGCAGAACCUUCAAUUGUGCAGCAGCUCCCCUGUAGGUAGAUUGACCUCCUUGAUCUCAGUGCAUCGAUUUUCAAAGGACCUUCACUGUCACAGAACCGGCGCUAUUUCAGUGCCUCCACUGUCGCAGGACCUACCUCUUCACAGGAUCUGCACUGUUGCAGCAACUGUAAUUUCAAUUUUUCAAAGUCAUUGCUGUUUAUAUUUGAGGCUGAAUGAAAUGUGAUGCUACUUUUGAAAGCAUAAAAAUUUGUUCUAUAGCUCUUGUGAUAAAUGCCGUGUGUGCUUGGACCAGUAAACUAUGGAAGACUUCAUGAGCUCAUACCACUCUCCACCUCACUUUGUGGAAGCUGGUGUUUUUAGAGUGUGAUAAACUUCAGGUGAAUGGAUGCAUUCAGCUGCACCACGUUCUAGAGUGGGCUACACAGCCGUCAUAUUGAGUCCUUGCUGGGAAGAGAAGAAAUCCAGAGGAGGGAGAAGGCUUGGGUUGGGGGAAGUAUCAUAAAAUACUUAGAAGAUAUAAGAAGGUAAGAAUUAUGGGGAACUGGAAAACAGAGCCAGAGGAAGAAUGAGCACAGAGCAAACUGGGAAGGACAAAGUACAAAGGCACUUG